rnacentral:tRNA from 1 species
GUCCUCGUAGCUCAGCGGAUAGAGCACUCGCCUCCUAAGCAAGUGGUCGGUGGUUCAAGUCCACUCGGGGACG